GCUGGCGGCGCGCCUAACACAUGCAAGUCGAACGGAGCAUUGAGAGCUUGCUUUUAAUGCUUAGUGGCGAACGGGUGAGUAACGCGUGAGUAACCUGCCCUGAAGCGGGGGACAACAGUUGGAAACGACUGCUAAUACCGCAUAAGCCCACGAUCCGGCAUCGGAUUGAGGGAAAAGGAUUUAUUCGCUUCAGGAUGGACUCGCGUCCAAUUAGCUAGUUGGUGAGGUAACGGCCCACCAAGGCGACGAUUGGUAGCCGGACUGAGAGGUUGAACGGCCACAUUGGGACUGAGACACGGCCCAGACUCCUACGGGAGGCAGCAGUGGGGGAUAUUGCACAAUGGGGGAAACCCUGAUGCAGCGACGCCGCGUGGAGGAAGAAGGUUUUCGGAUUGUAAACUCCUGUCGUUAGGGACGAUAAUGACGGUACAUAACAAGAAAGCACCGGCUAACUACGUGCCAGCAGCCGCGGUAAAACGUAGGGUGCAAGCGUUGUCCGGAAUUACUGGGUGUAAAGGGAGCGCAGGCGGACCGGCAAGUUGGAAGUGAAAACUAUGGGCUCAACCCAUAAAUUGCUUUCAAAACUGCUGGCCUUGAGUAGUGCAGAGGUAGGUGGAAUUCCCGGGUGUAGCGGUGGAAUGCGUAGAUAUCGGGAGGAACACAAGUGGCGAAGCGACCUACUGGGCACCAACUGACGCUGAGCUCGAAAGCAUGGGUAGCAAACAGNNUAGAUACCNUGGUAGUCCAUGCCGUAAACGAUGAUUACUAGGUGUUGGAGGAUUGACCCCUUCAGUGCCGCAGUUAACACAAUAAGUAAUCCACCUGGGGAGUACGACCGCAAGGUUGAAACUCAAAGGAAUUGACGGGGGCCCGCACAAGCAGUGGAGUAUGUGGUUUAAUUCGAAGCAACGCGCAGAACCUUACCAGCCCUUGACAUCCCGGUCGCGGACUCCAGAGACGGAGUUCUUCAGUUCGGCUGGACCGGAGACAGGUGCUGCAUGGCUGUCGUCAGCUCGUGUCGUGAGAUGUUGGGUUAAGUCCCGCAACGAGCGCAACCCCGUCCUUAGUUGCUACCAUUUAGUUGAGCACUCUAAGGAGACUGCCGGUGAUAAGCCGCGAGGAAGGUGGGGAUGACGUCAAGUCCUCAUGGCCCUUACGGGCUGGGCUACACACGUGCUACAAUGGCGGUGACAAUGGGAUGCUAAGGGGCGACCCUUCGCAAAUCUCAAAAAGCCGUCUCAGUUCGGAUUGGGCUCUGCAACUCGAGCCCAUGAAGUUGGAAUCGCUAGUAAUCGUGGAUCAGCACGCCACGGUGAAUACGUUCCCGGGCCUUGUACGCACCGCCCGUCACACCAUGGGAGUUGGUUUUACCUGAAGACGGUGCGCUAACCGAAAGGGGGCAGCCGGCCACGGUAGGGUCAGCGACUGGGGUGAAGUCGUAACAAGGUAA
rnacentral:rRNA from 1 species